UACGGGGGGGGCAAGCGUUGUUCGGAAUUACUGGGCGUAAAGGGCUCGUAGGUGGCCAACUAAGUCAGACGUGAAAUCCCUCAGCUUAACUGGGGAACUGCGUCUGAUACUGGAUGGCUUGAGUUUGGGAGAGGGAUGCGGAAUUCCAGGUGUAGCGGUGAAAUGCGUAGAUAUAUGGAGGAAUACCGGUGGCGAAGGCGGCCUCCUGGCUCGACACUGACGCUGAGGUGCGAAAGCGUGGGGAUCAAACAGG
rnacentral:rRNA from 1 species